GACACCGAGGCAAAGGAAGGCCACCAAGAAAGUUUUCUGACAAUUUGCAUAGAGGCGACAGAAAAUGGCUCAAUGAAAGUCGCAGAUAGAAAAACCUCCUUUGGAAUUAGUCCAAUUUUAAGAAAGUUCAAGUAAAAGAAGUUGGAUUUUGCUAAUUCCAUAACUUAAAAGUAACUGUACUAUAGAGAAAGUUUUAUUUAAAUCCUUGAAACAUCAAUUUGGGAAAUAUUUGCCAAAUCCUGUGCAAGAGAUCAAAUAGAUUCAGACAUGUCCCUGACCUUGAGAAACUCACAAUCUACAAAUACGAGGCUGUUAUAAUGUACAAAAAUAACAGUAACACCAAGGAGGAAGAGAUUCCCUCCAACCAGGGGAGCCAGACCUUACGAAGAAGCAGCCAAAUUUCACAAGCAUUCAUGCCAAAGAGCACUACAGGCAUUAACACAGGAAUAACACAUCACGCAGCAUAGUGGAGCCAUCAAUUUGUCAGGGUAGGGGAGGAAAGAUAGGUGAUGAUGAAAAUGUCAGUCAUGGUUAUGAAGGGCCUUGAAAGGCAGACCUAGAAAUUGGGCUUUAUCCUGAAAGCAAUACAGGCAGUCCAUUUGGGGUCCCCAGUCCAUUUUCAGUAAGGUUACUUUACACAAGAUUUCCAUGUGGAUCAGAAACUGAUCUGUUGUAAAAAGUAAGGGAUAUCACAACUAUCAUUCUUUGUUCUCCUGAGACAGCCACCCAAAACCCUACUGGCAUCCUCUGGACCUUCAGAAGGGCCUCAGCCUGAAGUCCCUACAUGGUCUCCACAGAAGGGGACUUGGAGAUUACAUUUGAUAUUUGGGGGCACUAAGGUCUGAGAAGUACGGCAGGUAUCAGAACUAGAGCCUGGCACUACCUCUCUCACACCCUUUCCUCUAGGAGAGACCCAGGAUACCACAGCUAUCUGUGCACACGUAUCCAAACUGCCCAUGGUCUCCACAGAACGGAGUUCCCUUGUGAUAGAUUCACAGAGGGGACCUGGGACAAGUCUCUCUUCUUUUCACUCCAUGAGGCUCAGCAGGCCACUGCCUUCCCUACAUGCUUCCACCAUACACCUAAGAUGUAGGAGGGCAGCAGAAACAGUGUGAGCAGCCCUGGCUGUAUCAUGCCCAGGCAGCCCCCAAGUACCCCCUGUCAACUCCUGGGGCUCUGUCGAGAAAUCUGAAAAACACUGGUCUAACAGAUUCCCAUAGUUCAGUAUCUAUGCUCAAGUGAAAAGGUUAGUAUGCUAGGCGGAGAAUCUAUGUCUCCACUGAGCAAGACAACAGAACCUUCUGAUGUCUGUCACAUUAAGGAUAGGAAAGAGCCAAGACUCACUCCCAACUCAUGAGUCUGGGUCUAAGCCCUAAUUUUCCUGCAGUUGUACACACACUCAUGAAGC